UGAAGUAAGUAAGGGCGUACGGUGAAUGCCUUGGUGCCAACAGGCGAAGAAGGACGCGGCAAGCUGCGAAAAGCCUCGGGAAGCUGCAAGCAAGCGAUGAUCCGGGGAUAUCCGAAUGGGGUAACCUGAUCGAGGCAAUACUCGAUCGUUCAUACCUGAAUACAUAGGGUAUGAAACGCGAAACCCGCUGAAGUGAAACAUCUCAGUAAGCGGAGGAAAAGAAAGAGAAAUCGAUUCCGUAAGUAGUGGCGAGCGAAAGCGGAUGGAGCCCAAACCGAAGGUAUUCCUUCGGGGUUGUAGGACCACGUCAUAUUCGACCAUACUGGAUAGUAGAACAGCCUGGAAAGGCUGGCCGGAGAAGGUGAAAGCCCUGUAGACGAAAUCCAGAGUGGGAAUUAGUGGUAUCCUGAGUAAUACAUCACACGUGGAACGAUGUAUGAACCCGCGCGGACCACCGCGCAAGGCUAAAUACUAGUUGGCGACCGAUAGUGAACAAGUACCGCGAGGGAAAGGUGAAAAGAACCGCUGUGAGCGGAGUGAAAUAGAACCUGAAACCGUAUGUCUACAAAGUGUCAGAGCAGAGCAAUCUGCGAUGGCGUGCCUUUUGUUUAAUGAGUCUGCGAGUCAGUGUUUGUGGCAAGACUAAGGGCUUCCGGCCCGGAGUCGCAGCGAAAGCAAGUCCGAACAGGGCGCAAUAAGUCGCAGGUACUGGACCCGAAGCGGAGGUGACCUACCCUUGGCCAGGUUGAAGCAUGGGUAAAACCAUGUGGAGGACCGAACAGGUGAACGUUGAAAAGUUCUCUGAUGAGCUGAGGGUAGGAGUGAAAGGCUAAUCAAACCCCGUGAUAGCUGGUUCUCUUCGAAAUGCAUUUAGGUGCAGCGUCACGUGCUGAUGCGCGGGGGUAGAGCACUGACAAGGCUAGGGGGCACACCCGCUUACCAAACCUUAUCAAACUCCGAAUACCGUGCAAUGGAACGUGGCAGUGAGACAGUGGGGGAUAAGCUUCAUUGUCGAGAGGGAAACAACCCAGACCAGCAGCUAAGGUGCCUAAAUAACGCUCAGUGGAAAGGAUGUGGGAUUACACAGACAGUGAGGAUGUUGGCUUAGAAGCAGCCACCAUUUAAAAAAUGCGUAAUAGCUUACUCAUCGAGUGAUCCUGCGCCGAAAAUGAUUGGCGAUCAAGCGUUAUACCGAAGCUCUGGACUUUGCCGCAAGGCAGAGUGGUAGAAGAGCGUUGCAUGCGCGUCGAAGGGCGAUGGCGACUGACCCUGGAGCACAUGCAAGUGAGUAUGCAGACAUGAGUAACGUUAAGCCGGGUGAAAUCCCCGGCCGCCGUAAACCCGAGGUUUCCAGGGCAACGUGUUUCGUCCCUGGGUUAGCCGGGACCUAAGCCGAGGCCGAGAGGCGUAGGCGAUGGACAUCAGGUUAAUAAUCCUGAGCUCGCAACCCUUAAACUGGGGGGACGCAUGAGAAAAGAUGACUAGGUUAUUGAAUUCCGAGUUGAGUCUACGGACUCAGCGCAUCAUUGGAUCGAGUGCCAAGAAAAGCCCCAGCGUAUGCUAAGCGACCCGUACCGCAAACCGACACAGGUGGGUGGGUAGAAUAUACCAAGGCGUAAGAGUGAAACCUGGUUAAGGAACUCGGCAAAUUAGCCCCGUAACUUCGGAAGAAGGGGUGCCUGCAGCGAUGCAGGCCGCAGAGAAAUGGCCCAACCGACUGUUUAUCAAAAACACAGCACUCUGCAAAGACGCAAGUCGAAGUAUAGGGUGUGACACGUGACCAAUGCCGAAAGAUUAAGGCAAGGGGUUAGCCGCAAGGCGAAGCUCUAAACCCAAGUCCCGGUGAAUGUCGGCCGUAACUAUAACGGUCCUAAGGUAGCGAAAUUCCUUGUCGGGUAAGUUCC
rnacentral:rRNA from 1 species